rnacentral:rRNA from 1 species
GACGUAGGGCGCGAGCGUUGUCCGGAUUUAUUGGGCGUAAAGAGCUCGUAGGCGGCUUGUCGCGUCGACUGUGAAAACCCGCGGCUCAACUGCGGGCCUGCAGCCGAUACGGGCAGGCUAGAGUUCGGUAGGGGAGACUGGAAUUCCUGGUGUAGCGGUGAAAUGCGCAGAUAUCAGGAAGAACACCCGUGGCUAAGGCGGUUCUCUAGUACGGUACUGACGCUGAGACGCGAAAGCGUGGGGAGCGAACAGG